rnacentral:rRNA from 1 species
UACGUAGGGGGCGAGCGUUAUCCGGAAUUACUGGGCGUAAAGCGCACGCAGGCGGUUCGCCAAGUUUUGAGUGACAGUUGUCGGCUCAACCGACAAAGGACUUCAAAAACUGGUGAACUUGAGGACGAGAGAGGAACAUGGAACUCCAGGUGUAGUAGUGAAAUGCGUAGAUAUCUGGAAGAACACCAAUGGCGAAGGCAAUGUUCUGGCUCGUUUCUGACGCUCAGGUGCGAAAGCCAGGGGAGCGAACGGG